GACGAACGCUGGCGGCGUGCUUAACACAUGCAAGUCGAACGGUGAAGCGCCUUCCUUUUUGGUGGGUGUGGAUGAGUGGCGAACGGGUGAGUAACACGUGAGUAACCUGCCCCCUUCUUCUGGAUAACCGCAUGAAAGUGUGGCUAAUACGGGAUAUUCUGGGUCUGUCGCAUGAUGGGUCUGGGAAAGAUAUUGUUUCGGUGGGGGAUGGGCUCGCGGCCUAUCAGCUUGUUGGUGGGGUGAUGGCCUACCAAGGCGGUGACGGGUAGCCGGCCUGAGAGGGUGGACGGUCACACUGGGACGACGCCACGGAGAAGAAUCCUACGGGAGGAAGCAGUGGAGAAUGUUGCACAAUGGGGGGAAGCCUGAUGCAGCGGCGCCGCGUGAGGGAUGGCGGCCUUCGCGUUGUAAACCUCUUUCGCCAGAGAAGCAGGCCUGCCUCGUUUGUGGGUGGGUUGACGGUAGCUGGAUAAGAAGCGCCGGCUAACUACGUG
rnacentral:rRNA from 1 species